rnacentral:rRNA from 1 species
UACAGAGGUCCCAAGCGUUGUUCGGAUUCACUGGGCGUAAAGGGUGCGCAGGUGGCCGUGUGUGUCAGAUGUGAAAUCCCGGGGCUUAACUCCGGAACUGCGUCUGAAACUACACGGCUAGAGCAUUGGAGAGGGUAGUGGAAUUCACGGUGUAGCAGUGAAAUGCGUAGAUAUCGUGAGGAACACCAGAGGCGAAGGCGACUACCUGGACAAUAGCUGACACUCAGGCACGAAAGCGUGGGGAGCCAAAGGG